AGAGUUUGAUCCUGGCUCAGAAUCAACGCUGGCGGCGCGCUUAACACAUGCAAGUCGAACGAGAAAGCGGGAGCAAUCCUGCAAGUACAGUGGCGCACGGGUGAGUAACACGUGGAUUAUCUGCCCUGGAGUGGGGAAUAACGCUGGGAAACCGGCGCUAAUACCGCAUAUUCCCGAGAGGGGAAAGCAGCAAUGCGCUCGAGGAGGAGUCCGCGGCUGAUUAGCUAGUUGGGAGGGUAACGGCCUACCAAGGCUAUGAUCGGUAGCCGGCCUGAGAGGGCACACGGCCACACUGGCACUGAAACACGGGCCAGACUCCUACGGGAGGCAGCAGUGGGGAAUCUUGCACAAUGGGGGCAACCCUGAUGCAGCGACGCCGCGUGAGCGAUGAAGCCCUUCGGGGUGUAAAGCUCUUUCGGCAGGGAAGAUUAUGACGGUACCUGCAGAAGAAGUUCA
rnacentral:rRNA from 1 species